rnacentral:rRNA from 1 species
UACGUAGGGGGCGAGCGUUAUCCGGAAUUACUGGGCGUAAAGCGCACGCAGGCGGUUCGCCAAGUUUGGAGUGACAGUUGUCGGCUCAACCGACAAAGGACUUCAAAAACUGGUGAACUUGAGGACGAGAGAGGAACAUGGAACUCCAAGGUGUAGUAGUGAAAUGCGUCAGAUAUCUGGAAGAACACCAAUGGCGAAGGCAAUGUUCUGGCUCGUUUC